rnacentral:rRNA from 1 species
UACGGAGGGUGCAAGCGUUAAUCGGAAUUACUGGGCGUAAAGCGUGCGCAGGCGGUUUGUUAAGUCCGCUGUGAAAUCCCCGAGCUCAACUUGGGAAUUGCAGUGGAUACUGGCAAGCUGGAGUAUGGUAGAGGAAGGUGGAAUUCCCGGUGUAGCAGUGAAAUGCGUAGAGAUCGGGAGGAACACCAGUGGCGAAGGCGAUCAUCUGGGAUUAACCUGACGCUGAGGAGCGAAAGCCAGGGGAGCAAACGGG